GACGAACGCUGGCGGCGUGCCUAAUACAUGCAAGUAGAACGCACAGUUUAUACCGUAGCUUGCUACACCAUAGACUGUGAGUUGCGAACGGGUGAGUAACGCGUAGGUAACCUGCCUGGUAGCGGGGGAUAACUAUUGGAAACGAUAGCUAAUACCGCAUAAUAUUAAUUAUUGCAUGAUAAUUAAUUGAAAGGUGCAAUUGCACCACUACCAGAUGGACCUGCGUUGUAUUAGCUAGUAGGUGAGGUAACGGCUCACCUAGGCGACGAUACAUAGCCGACCUGGGAGGGUGAUCGGCCACACUGGGACUGAGACACGGCCCAGACUCCUACGGGAGGCAGCAGUAGGGAAUCUUCGGCAAUGGACGAAAGUCUGAACGAGCAACGCCGCGGGAGUGAAGAAGGUUUUCGGAUCGUAAAGCUCUGUUGUAAGAGAAGAACGGGUGUGAGAGUGGAAAGUUCACACUGUGACGGUAUCUUAACAGAAAGGGACGGCUAACUACGUG
rnacentral:rRNA from 1 species